UACAUGGGGUGCAAACGUUGCUCGGAAUUAUUGGGCGUAAAGCGCGCGUAGGCGGUUACUUAAGUCGGAUGUGAAAAGCCCUCGGCUUAACUGAGGAGUGCACCGAAACUGAGUAGCUAGAGUACGAAAGAGGGUCGCGGAAUUCCGGUGUAGAGGUGAAAUUCGUAGAUAUCGGGAGGAACACCGGUGCGAAGGCGGCGACCUGGGUCGAGACUGACGCUGAAGGCGCGAAAGCGUGGGGAGCAAACAGG
rnacentral:rRNA from 1 species